CCAGAUGGGUGGAGCUAGGGAAAGCCUUCAUGGAAAGGGUUUCAUCUUUCUGAACAUUCACCACACUGGUGGACAAAUCCUUUUUCUGUGAGGAAGAUGUGGCUGUUGGGAGAGUCAAGUAAUUGAAUGACGUGAAUUUCCUGGAGUUUCCAUAAGUUCCUGUAAAUUUAGCCUCCAACUGAAAUAAACCAACUGAAUGUAAGACAUCAGACCCUAAAGAACCAAAGUUGUUAUUUCUGUGGAAGACCAGCCAACCUAUUCUCACAGCUGAAACAAGGGAUCUGGCCUGCAAACAGAGUGUUAAGGCAUUCUCCAAGUUUCAAAACAAGAGUACACCAUUUUGAAGGCCUAUAAAUAGAAAGAAUUUUUCAAAUAUUAAUUCAGUAAUGACCUCUGUCUUUGGAAAAGAUAAUUGCAAUGUGUUACUGCGAACCAAUUUAAACCUGUAUUUCUCAUUGCAUUUAAUAUUUAAUUUUGUUUUUUAUCAUUAUAUAUCAACAGUUCUUUCUGGAGCAAAGCAAUCCUAUUUGACUUUUUUUUUUUUAACCUUAUAGUGCACACACACAUGUAGGUGUAGGGUUAUUUAAACAAGGAAACAUUUACAUCAAAAUGUGCAAAGAGUUAUCCUGGAAUAGAAAUGCUGAAAAUAUAUUUUCAAGAAGUUUUAAAAUUCUAGGCUGGCCUCAAUGUAUUCAGUAGCAUGUCAGAAACAGAAAAAAAAUUUAAUCUCUCCAUUUGCUUAUUCCUAUUAACAUAUAUAGAAAAAAAAGUUGCUCUAAACCUAAUGCCUAUGCGAUGUGUUUGUUUCCUGAUGCUGACGAUAAAUCAUAACUGGGCACUUGGUUAUAUUUUUUAAUGUUCUACAUUUCUAGCACUGCUACUGUGUUCACAAUGAGCUUUAUAUCUGACAGUAAUUUUAUUUUCAGGUUCAGUCAUAUGAUGCCUUUCUAUAGGAAUAGGUUCUAUCACAGGAACAAAUUAUUCAAAUCUAGUUUAAUGGACUCAGCAAUUCUCCUCAGUUUUAUCCUGGGCAUUUUGUAUUCCUUUGCCUAAACCUAGUGGCUAUGUAACAAUUCAAUUACCAAAGUCCUUCAUCCAGAAAGUGCUGUUGAUUUCCAGUAAUUCUUAUUCUGUUUGAUUUCUUUUUUUUUUCCUCCUAGUUUAACACAUGCCAGUUGGUGUCCACUGAGUUAAAAAUCUUGAAAUAAGCCUGGCACUGUGUCAGUACAUAGGUUAAAAAGUGAAACAAAAAAUUUUAAUAAAAUAUACACUAGAAAUGGAAAAUAAGAUUAGCAGUGGCAUUUCUUGUCAUAAGGGCAUUUUCUGUCUAUGCACACAAAAUAAAACCAGCUCAGUGUAGCUGAAGAAGAGAGGAAAGAGAGAGAUGGUAUAAAUUGAAAGAUGAAAAGGCAGAGACUGAGUGUACAGAAGCGUGUUGAGAGCAUGCAGUCAGCUGGCAAGAAAAGGCAACUCGAAGAGCCUCAGAAGGUAAAACCUCAGUUGGCAGAUAAAGUGGGUAAGAAGCAAGUUUUGAAAUAAAAUAGCAAUAGCAUAAGCAACUUGAAGGAAGAUGAAAAGAGCAAGGUGAUAAAAGUAUGCAAGAGU